GUGCAUAUAGCUCAAGGCGAGUGCGCAUGCUUAAUAUGCAUGAGGUCCUGGGUUCAAUCCCCAGUAUCUCCA
rnacentral:tRNA from 1 species